UACGGAGGGUGCGAGCGUUGUCCGGAAUCACUGGGCGUAAAGGGCGCGUAGGCGGCCGUGUAAGUCACUUGUGAAAUCCCGGGGCUCAACUCCGGGGCUGCAGGUGAGACUGCGUGGCUAGAGCUUGGUAGAGGCGAGUGGAAUUCCCGGUGUAGUGGUGAAAUGCGUAGAUAUCUGCAGGAACACCCGUGGCGAAAGCGGCGCGCUGGACCACUACUGACGCUGAGGAACGAAAGCUAGGGGAGCAAACAGG
rnacentral:rRNA from 1 species